rfam:Pontibacter ummariensis strain NKM1 genome assembly, contig: Ga0139000_104
UUUGUAUCGGCAAGCCGGCACGGCCAGCUCCCGCCGAACUCCCCCAGGACCGGAAGGUAGCAAGGGUAGGUGGUUGAGCGGCGCGAUGUUCGGCUUGCCACUUU